AUGACACGCCCCUCCCGCUUCCACUGCAGUCUUUUUCUCCGCAGCCUCCACCCAGAGCCAGAGCAGUCGCCAUCGCUGUUGGAGUCGGCCGCCGCCCCGGCAGCGCUCCGGCCGGAGCGCUGCCGGGGCGGCGGCCGGCCUUUCCGGGAGCCCGAUGUCCAUCCCUGCCCAGCUAGAGGUCCACGCCAGUGUCCAGCUGCUGCCCCUGACCAGACAGGACAAGACCGUGCUGCCGCGCCUGCUCCCGGGGCCGGAGGAUUCCCGCGUCCGGGGUCCGGAGGGCGGCGGCCCCUCCUGCCCCUCUUCCCGCUCCUCCUCCACCAUCCUGGGGCUGCUGCAGCCGGGGCCUGGGGCGCAGCUGUGCCCUUGACAGCUCCCGCCCUGCCCUCCGCCCCCGCCCCCGCGGCAGUGCCACCGGGUCCCUUAGCGGCGCCGGGCCUGGUGCUGAAGUUUGCUGGAUGCAGAAGGAGCUCGCUGGGGCAUCGUUUCAACGGCCGGUGGUCCGGGAUGGCCCCACCCCAGCUGCAGCUUCCCCUCCUCUGCAGCGCCGCUCCGCUGCAGUAACCCUGGGGCCCCAAGUCCAUCGCCGGGGCCCCUUGCUGGCCGCGCAGCAACCUCAGUCCGGUCAGUGGCUUGUGACCGUGGUCCGCCGAGGCGGGUCUGCCCUGGAUGGGUCUGAAGAUGUCACCUGCCUUCUCCAGCGCCUUGCCGGUGGCGUCUCCAGCCUCCGCUGCCGGUCUGGGAGCAGGGAGCCCACCCGGGGGCCUUCCGACGCCUCGCCCUGGCCCUGAACGCUCCAGGAUUUCCAGACCCAGGCCGUCCACCUGCCUAGUGGAAGCUGCCCCUGUGCCGAGGCUGACGGACUGCACAGCCUCCUUUCUCCCCUGCCCUCGGGGUGGGGCAGGUCUCUUCUCUCUUCUUCUCUUUACCUUUUGUCUGCUUAGGGUCCUCAACAUCAAGACCGUGGAUUCUCAGAAUGGACAAGGGGAGCAUCCUCUCUGUGACCGCCAGGGAGUGACCCUGCCGAUGGCGUAGAUCUCUUUAGGUUUCUCUCCUUUCCCUCCUGCCCCUUCUCUGGGGGCUGCCGGGAGGCUCUUCUGUCUCUAUCCUUCCUUAGUAUUUAGAGUUCCCUACGUGUGUUAUCUCCUCCCCCCUUUCCAUUUAAUUCAAUUCAACAGGCAUCUGUUAAGUGCUUCUUUAUGUGCCAGGUGCUGGGGACACAAAAAACCUGAAUCCCUCCAGCCCCCCAGGAGCUGGGGAUUGUUUGGGUGCCCUUCGCUCCCACCUCCCCCAUGGUGUUGAGAAAAACUGUAGGCAGAGAUCCCAGAUCUGGAGCUGGAGGGGCCCUUAGGCGACAUCUAGUCUGACAAAGAACACUCUUUUUUUCCACCUAGACCCAUAAAAUGACACUCAUUUUACAGGUGAGGAAACCGAGGCCCAAAGCAAUUAAGUGAUUUACCCGAAGUGAUAAAGGUUUGGCAGUGAUUGACAGGUGAAAUUGGAAUCCAUCAAUUAAUUGAUCUUCACCACAGUCCUUGCCCAAGGCGGCUUCUGCUAGAAGUCUAGGAGGUUUCAGGAGAAUGUGAGAGUGGGAUAUUCUGGGGCUGCCUGUCCCUGCUGAGAGAGGGAGAGAGAGAGAGAGAGAGAGAGAGAGAGAGAGAGAGACAGAGACAGAGACAGAGACAGAGACAGUGAGUCUGACAGAAGGAGGUGGGCAGCUCAGCCCCGGAGCCGUCCUAAGAAUGGUUUGUUUUUAAAAAUCAAGAUUGAAGAAAUUGCUCGAUUUCAAUUAGAGGUUAGGAAAAGAAAUGUGUAACUUUGUUUCCAUCUAAAUUAACUGUCACCUUAUGGGUGCCAUUAAGAACCCCUCAUAUGGGGGGAGGGCUCUCAAAACUCAAAACCCCUCUCCCCCAGCAGCUGCCGGCCCUUCUUGAUUCCUUCCAUAGUGAACCCCACCCUCAGCUGGGGCUGCUGUUCCCCUGACGUCCACCCAAGGCUGGAUGGCCACUUGCCAGGCCAGCCUAGUAUUUGGAAUUCUUGUUCACCAAAUGCUUUCCACUAGAUGGUCUAGGUGCCCUUCAGCUCUAAUGACCUUGCCCUUCCUAAUUAUCAGUAACCUGGUGUUUUGGGGGCAGGCAAGGAUUCCUUUCAGCCACGUGGGAACUUCGGGACCUAUUUCUGGCCAAAUGGGAGUCCUCAGUCAGUGGCUUGCCCUGGUGAUGGAUCCUUCCCCCAGCCCUGUUGUCUAGAGUUGUAUGAACUGGUAUGUUGUUUUUUUUCCCUUUUUUGUAUCCCCAGCACUCGGCACAGUACCUGGCACAUAGUAAGCCCUUAGUAAAUGCCUGUUGAUUGAAAAAAGAUCCCCCCUACUGGGCCACGAGAGCACAGUAGGUGUCAAAAGCAAGGGCUUUCUACCUCCCCAGCUGGCUAUCACAUAGACUGGUGCCAGCUGGUCCCCAGUGUUGGGUGGGAGGUGGGCAUGCCCACCUCCCACCUGGCCCCCAUGCAGCCAUUUCAACGGCUGUCCCUGUCUGUGUGUGUCUGUUUGGUUUUAUGAUCUUAGAUGAAUGUUCAUAGGUUUAGGUGACUAUGUAUCCCUUGACGCAUGUAUCGGGACUGGAGAGGCCUUGGGGAUUCCCAAUGGUCUGAAGAUGUCGGAGGCCUGCCAGGACCAUGGCUACAGUGGUCCAGAGCAGGGGAAGCUUCUGCAGUCCUGGCCACCACAAAGAGGCACAGCAGUGCCAGGAGUGCUUGGAUGGGGGAGGGUUGAGAUGAAAGGGGCAGGCAGUCGGGUGGACAAAGUCGGGCUGAGUCAUUUCUGUUCUGUGGAGUUUUCAAUAUCACCUUCCUGAUUGAUGGAUUGAUUGUAACAGGAGUUGGUACGGAAGCCUGUUAAUAUUGUUAAUGUCAUUUCCUAUGUGCUCCAAUUCUAGCAUUUCUGUGUGUAACUAAACUCCUCGUUUUGUCCCUGAAAAAGAACAGAGCAACAUCUGACUGCCCUGCAGGAUGCUUCCUUGGGUUCCUGAUUGAGGAAGGAGAAUUGGGUUGUGCUUUUUGUGUUUUCCUUUUUAUUCUUGUGAUGUGUUUGAAAACUUCGAUUAUUAAAGUAGUUUGAAUUGGAAUUUUGUGGUUUGGGAGUGCUUAUUUUAAACACCAAAACCUUGAAACUUCCAAACUAAGGCAACUCUCAGCUUAGCCUGCAGUAAUUGGGCUGGGUGCUCUUUGUUCAAGGGGCCUUUGACUAAACUCGUUUCCUAAAAGGGGCUGAAAAGAAAGAGAAUCCUGCAUAAUGGCCUACUUAGAACCAGAUUCUUUUUUCCAGUGGCCAAGCCUGCUCCCCCAACCUCCUUUAGAAGAUAAAGAGGACAUUUUGAGAUAAGGAGAAGGUUCCCACUGAUGCAAAGGGAUUUUUAAAACAGGUGAGGUUGAUGCUGGAAGCACUGUUUGGGAAAAGCUGUGUGGUUAACCGAGAAGGAAGGCAUCGGGUGGUAUGGUGAAUAAUACCGGAGCUGGAGGCAGAGCCGAAUUCAAAUCCUUCCUUGCUAGUAUGACAAACCAGUCAUUUAACCUCUGCCUCAGUUUCCUCACUGAUAAAAUGGGGUCAGGAACAGCACCUACUUCCCAGGGCUGUUGAAUGUCAAGUAAGGUCAUAUUUGUAAAGCACUUUGUGCUAAAUAGAGAAACCUUACCUACUUUGUCUUUAAAGAUUGAGCAAUUAGAAGUGGCUGUAAAUGAGCUCCAUUUUUAAAGCUGGAGCGCAGAAGCCAAAUGGGCUUCAACCUAAUGGGUUUGUUGAUUACCAGGAUAAGAGAUCCCUCCUACAUCAGGCCCUUUGGAAUUGGAGGCAAUAAACCAGGAUUUCUGUUUGGAGCUAGGUGCCUG
rnacentral:lncRNA from 1 species